AGCGUAGACGGUGUGGCAAGUCUGAUGUGAAAGGCAUGGGCUCAACCUGUGGACUGCAUUGGAAACUGUCAUACUUGAGUGCCGGAGGGUAAGCGGAAUUCCUAGUGUAGCGGUGAAAUGCGUAGAUAUUAGGAGGAACACCAGUGGCGAAGGCGGCUCUCUGGACUGUAACUGACACUGAAGGCACGAAAGGCUGGGAGCAAACA
rnacentral:rRNA from 1 species